GUAAAAAAUGACAGUCACAAUGCUCCCCUCUGCCCCACUCUGAGAUCCCUGCAUGGCAUAUUAGCAUCCAGGGGUGGUACCUGCGGUGUAAGAGAUGGGGGUGGGGGGGGCAAAAGCUAUUUGUUUGAAUUUAAGCUUUCGUUCAACCAUCCCACAGUGAGAGGCAUCUAUGCUGUGUGAAAGGAGGACCUGACUUGCUACAAACCCAGACCAGGUACUGCGGCACUGCUAUCAUCCACAGUACUGAUUCCAACAGUAGGCCUGAAGAGUUGUCAGAAGCUGUGGAGGAGUCGGACCCACCAACAGCAGAAUCAAAAGACAAAUCUCUUGGGAAACCUGUGGAACAACCUGCAGUGGAGGAAUCUGUAGAUGCACCUGCUGACCAACCAGAGGCAGCAGAGCCCUCUGAGACAACGACUGAGGAACCUGCAUCUGUGGAAGAAGCUGAUGGAGAACUCAUCGCAAAACUCACUGCAGAACCCACCGUGGGACCCACAGUGGAACCAGCAAGUGAAAUUCAAUCAGAAGAGGCUGCUGUAGAAUCAGUCUUAGAACCUGUAGUGAAACCUGUUGACAGUGUUUCUGAAGAACCUGCAGUUAGGCCAGCGGCUGUGGAGGCAAUUGAACUUGUAGUUGAGCCUGUGGCUGCAGUUAAACCUGUAGUUGAGCCUGUGGCUGCAGUUAAACCUGUAGUUGAGCCUGUGGCUGCAGUUAAACCUGUAGUUGAGCCUGUGGCUGCAGUUAAGCCUGUAGUUGAGCCUGUGGCCGCAGUUAAACCUGUAGUUGAGCCUGUGGCUGCAGUUAAACCUGUAAGUGUGAGCGCUGAUGGCUGCAGUAAACCUGUAGU
rnacentral:lncRNA from 1 species